AUUGAACGCUGGCGGAAUGCUUUACACAUGCAAGUCGAGCGGCAGCGCGGGGCAACCUGGCGGCGAGCGGCGAACGGGUGAGUAAUGCAUCGGAACAUGUCCAAGUCGUGGGGGAUAGCCCGGCGAAAGCCGGAUUAAUACCGCAUACGCCCGAGAGGGGAAAGCCGGGGACCGCAAGGCCUGGCGCGAUUGGGUUGGCCGAUGUCCGAUUAGCUAGUUGGCGGGGUAAGAGCCCACCAAGGCGAUGAUCGGUAGCUGGUCUGAGAGGAUGAUCAGCCACACUGGGACUGAGACACGGCCCAGACUCCUACGGGAGGCAGCAGUGGGGAAUUUUGGACAAUGGGGGAAACCCUGAUCCAGCCGUUCCGCGUGAGUGAAGAAGGCCUUCGGGUUGUAAAGCUCUUUUGUCCGGAACGAAACGGUGCUCGUGAAUAUCGAGCGCUACUGACGGUACCGGAAGAAUAAGCACCGGCUAACUACGUGCCAGCAGCCGCCGUAAUAC
rnacentral:rRNA from 1 species